AAAAUAAUCCUACCCUUUGUGAGUUUUGUUUGUUUGAAUAAUUUUUUUUUUAAAAAAUUAUUGGAGUCUUUCCCUUUAGAGUUUGCUUUGAGUUUGUAAAAGAAUUCGAAGACAUCUAAAGGGGAUGGUCAAUAAUUUUUUUUGAAAAAAGACAUUUUUUAAAAUUAAACUUUUUGUAUUCAUUUGUCUAAAAAUUAUUUUUAUAAUAUAAAAACAACUUUUGACAAUGGAUCUCUUGGUUCUCGCAACGAUGAAGAACGCAGCAAAAUGCGAUAAGUAGUGUGAAUUGCAGAAUACGUGAAUCAUCGAAUCUUUGAACGCAUAUUGCACUUUUUUAGUUUACUAAAAAAGUAUGUCUGUUUGAGUAUCAGUAAAAUAUUCUCAUAAAAAUCAUUGUGUAUUUUUAUGGUUAUGAGUGUUUUACAACGAUACAAGUUGUUUCACUUUAAAUUUUUUUUUAAUAUUGAAAUUUUUCUGAUUUUAAUAAUUAAAAUUGGAUAAAAUUUUCCCGUCAAAAGGAAUAACCUAAACAAUUUUAAACGAUUAAUUUUAGCAAAAUUUUCGUAAAAAAGGAAAAUUUUUAUUAAAAUAACUUGAUCUCAAAUCAGAUAAGAGUACCCGCUGAACUUAAGCAUAUCAAUAAGCGGAGGAAAAGAAACUAACAAGGAUUCCCUUAGUAACGGCGAGUGAAGCGGGAAGAGCCCAAAUUUGAAAUCUUCAAGGUUUUACCUUGACGAAUUGUAGUUUAAAGAAGUGUUUUCUGCUGAAGUUUUGGUAAAAGUUCUUUGGAAUAGGACAUCAUAGAGGGUGAGAAUCCCGUAUUUGACCGUUAUUUUCAGCUUUGUGAUACACUUUCAAAGAGUCGGAUUGUUUGGGAAUGCAGUCCAAAAUGGGUGGUAAAUUUCAUCUAAAGCUAAAUAUUGGCGAGAGACCGAUAGCGAACAAGUACCGUGAGGGAAAGAUGAAAAGAACUUUGAAAAGAGAGUUAAACAGUACGUGAAAUUGUCAAAAGGGAAGCGUUUGACACCAGUGUUGUUUUCUCGAAAAUCAAUUAAAAAUGGCUCGAUUUUGUAAUGCUUGAGACCUUAAAAGCUCACUGUACAUUUUUCGUGUCUUUUUUAAUGCACUUUUCGUUUAACAAGUCAACAUCAGUUUCUUUUGUUGUAAAAGGGUCAUUGGAAGGUGGCUUUCUUUUCGGAGAAAGUGUUUAUAGCCUUUGGCCUCUGCAAUCGAAGAGACUGAGGUCUGCAGCGUAGACUCUUCGGGGUUAGAUACAUUUGUGCUAAGUUAUAGCUUUUUAUAGACAACUUGUUGACUAUAAUUAGUCUUGUAGCUUACU
rnacentral:misc_RNA from 1 species